rnacentral:rRNA from 1 species
UACGGAGGGUGCAAGCGUUGUCCGGAAUUAUUGGGCGUAAAGCGCGUGUAGGCGGUCCGGUAAGUCGGCUGUGAAAGUCCAGGGCUCAACCCUGGGAUGCCGGUCGAUACUGCCGGACUAGAGUUCGGAAGAGGCGAGUGGAAUUCCUAGUGUAGAGGUGAAAUUCGUAGAUAUUAGGAAGAACACCAGUGGCGAAGGCGGCUCACUGGCCCGGUACUGACGCUCAUGUGCGAAAGCGUGGGGAGCAAACAGG